rnacentral:rRNA from 1 species
UUCACGGAGAGUUUGAUCCUGGCUCAGGACGAACGCUGGCGGCGUGCUUAACACAUGCAAGUCGAACGAUGAACCGCUUUCGGGCGGGGAUUAGUGGCGAACGGGUGAGUAACACGUGGGCAAUCUGCCCUGCACUCUGGGACAAGCCCUGGAAACGGGGUCUAAUACCGGAUAUGAC